AACAAGGCGUACCUGCGGACCUGCGGAGGGAUCAUUACCGAGUUUACAACUCCCAAACCCCUGUGAACAUACCAAUUGUUGCCUCGGCGGAUCAGCCCGCUCCCGGUAAAACGGGACGGCCCGCCAGAGGACCCCUAAACUCUGUUUCUAUAUGUAACUUCUGAGUAAAACCAUAAAUAAAUCAAAACUUUCAACAAUGGAUCU
rnacentral:misc_RNA from 1 species